rnacentral:rRNA from 1 species
CCUACGGGAGGCAGCAGUGGGGAAUAUUGGACAAUGGGCGAAAGCCUGAUCCAGCCAUGCCGCGUGUGUGAAGAAGGUCUUCGGAUUGUAAAGCACUUUAAGUUGGGAGGAAGGGCAUUAACCUAAUACGUUAGUGUUUUGACGUUACCGACAGAAUAAGCACCGGCUAACUCUGUGCCAGCAGCCGCGGUAAUACAGAGGGUGCAAGCGUUAAUCGGAAUUACUGGGCGUAAAGCGCGCGUAGGUGGUUUGGUAAGUUGGAUGUGAAAGCCCCGGGCUCAACCGGGGAACUGCAUCCAAAACUGGCAAGCUAGAGUACGGUAGAGGGUGGUGAAAUUCCCUGUGUAGCGGUGAAAUGCGUAGAUAUAGGAAGGAACACCAGUGGCGAAGGCGGCCACCGGGCCUGAAACUGACACUGAGGUGCGAAAGCGUGGGGAGCAAACAGGAUUAGAUACCCUUGUAGU